CAGCAGCCGCGGUAAUACGUAGGUGGCAAGCGUUGUCCGGAAUUAUUGGGCGUAAAGGGCUCGCAGGCGGUUUCUUAAGUCUGAUGUGAAAGCCCCCGGCUCAACCGGGGAGGGUCAUUGGAAACUGGGAAACUUGAGUGCAGAAGGGGAGAGUGGAAUUCCACGUGUAGCGGUGAAAUGCGUAGAGAUGUGGAGGAACACCAGUGGCGAAGGCGACUCUCUGGUCUGUAACUGACGCUGAGGAGCGAAAGCGUGGGGAGCGAACAGGAUUAGAUACCCCCGUAGUCCCUGUCUCUUAUAC
rnacentral:rRNA from 1 species